UCCAGACUCCUACGGGAGGCAGCAGUGGGGAAUAUUGGGCAAUGGGCGCAAGCCUUACCCAGCAAUACCGCGUGAGUGAAGAAGGUCUUCGGAUUGUAAGGCUCUUUGAUCAGGGACGAACAGAUGACGGUACCUGAAGAACAAGCCCCGGCUAACUACGUGCCAGCAGCCGCGGUAAAACGUAGGGGGCGAGCGUUGUCCGGAUUUACUGGGUGUAAAGGGCGUGUAGGCGGGGACGCAAGUCAGAUGUGAAAACCACGGGCUCAACCUGUGGCCUGCAUUUGAAACUGUGUUUCUUGAGUACUGGAGAGGCAGACGGAAUUCCUAGUGUAGCGGUGAAAUGCGUAGAUAUUAGGAGGAACACCAGUGGCGAAGGCGGUCUGCUGGACAGCAACUGACGCUGAGGCGCGAAAGCGUGGGGAGCAAACAGGAUUAGAUACCCUCGUACAA
rnacentral:rRNA from 1 species